rnacentral:rRNA from 1 species
UACAGAGGGUGCGAGCGUUGUCCGGAAUCACUGGGCGUAAAGGGCGCGUAGGCGGCCUGAUAAGUAGGGGGUGAAAUCCUGUGGCUUAACUGGGGAACUGCGUCUGAGACUGGAUGGCUCGAGUGCAGGAGAGGAAUGCGGAAUUCCAGGUGUAGCGGUGAAAUGCGCAGAUAUCAGGAGGAACACCGGUGGCGAAGGCGGCUUGCUGGGCCUUACCUGACGCUGAGGAGCGAAAGCGUGGGGAGCAAACAGG